rnacentral:misc_RNA from 1 species
UCAUCAUGGGAAGCUAGGGAACAAUGUGUUCAAUACAACCACCAGCCUACUCAACCAGAUGAUUUUGCCAAUCCUUUGCAAUGCAAUAGGAAUUUGCGAAUUGGUUCCAAUGCAGAUGAAAGAGAUAAAGUCACUAUUGCAACCACAGAACAAAAUUUUAAUGGAUUCAUACCUGCGUGGAUGCUUUGAUAUCUGAAAAUUCUUAAAGGUUCAAUAAGUGAAUAGAUUAAUAUGUUUAUAUAUGAUGAUCUUCUUGGGCAACUGUAGAUACCCUAAUGCAGUAAUUAAACGGCUUGUAAUAAACAAAAUUCUCACUGUUCUAAUCAGUGGGUGAACCAAGUUUGUAUUUGUUAUGAUGAAGUUGAUUGAAG